AUUGAACGCUGGCGGCAUGCUUUACGCAUGCAAGUCGAACGGUAACAGGCCGCAAGGUGCUGACGAGUGGCGAACGGGUGAGUAAUGCAUCGGAACGUGCCCCGUCGUGGGGGAUAACUACUCGAAAGAGUAGCUAAUACCGCAUACGAUCUAUGGAUGAAAGCGGGGGACCGUAAGGCCUCGCGCGAUUGGAGCGGCCGAUGUCAGAUUAGGUAGUUGGUGGGGUAAAGGCUCACCAAGCCAACGAUCUGUAGCUGGUCUGAGAGGACGACCAGCCACACUGGGACUGAGACACGGCCCAGACUCCUACGGGAGGCAGCAGUGGGGAAUUUUGGACAAUGGGCGCAAGCCUGAUCCAGCAAUGCCGCGUGCAGGAAGAAGGCCUUCGGGUUGUAAACUGCUUUUGUACGGAACGAAACGGCUCUGGUUAAUACCCGGGGCUAAUGACGGUACCGGAAGAAUAAGCACCGGCUAACUACGUG
rnacentral:rRNA from 1 species